CCAGAAGACAGCGCCAGAGACAUAGCUAACCUCAAAACAGAGCUAAGGAAUGGGUGAAUGAAGGAAAGCCUCUGUCGAGAAGCAUGGAGAAUGAAACGGGCUUGAAGACCGAUAACUGACUUACGGUGGGGGAAGCCCAAUUAAUGUGCUCUUGCGUUCUCUGGAGCACAGCCUCCUGGAUCUGAUUCUUUGAAGACUGUCUUGAGGUGGUUGGUCCAAAUGUCAACAACAAACUAAG
rnacentral:lncRNA from 1 species